rnacentral:rRNA from 1 species
GUGAGUAACACGUGGGCAAUCUGCCCUGCACUCUGGGACAAGCCCUGGAAACGGGGUCUAAUACCGGAUACUGACCCUCACGGGCAUCUGUGAGGUUCGAAAGCUCCGGCGGUGCAGGAUGAGCCCGCGGCCUAUCAGCUUGUUGGUGAGGUAAUGGCUCACCAAGGCGACGACGGGUAGCCGGCCUGAGAGGGCGACCGGCCACACUGGGACUGAGACACGGCCCAGACUCCUACGGGAGGCAGCAGUGGGGAAUAUUGCACAAUGGGCGAAAGCCUGAUGCAGCGACGCCGCGUGAGGGAUGACGGCCUUCGGGUUGUAAACCUCUUUCAGCAGGGAAGAAGCGAAAGUGACGGUACCUGCAGAAGAAGCGCCGGCUAACUACGUGCCAGCAGCCGCGGUAAUACGUAGGGCGCGAGCGUUGUCCGGAAUUAUUGGGCGUAAAGAGCUCGUAGGCGGCUUGUCACGUCGGUUGUGAAAGCCCGGGGCUUAACCCCGGGUCUGCAGUCGAUACGGGCAGGCUAGAGUUCGGUAGGGGAGAUCGGAAUUCCUGGUGUAGCGGUGAAAUGCGCAGAUAUCAGGAGGAACACCGGUGGCGAAGGCGGAUCUCUGGGCCGAUACUGACGCUGAGGAGCGAAAGCGUGGGGAGCGAACAGGAUUAGAUACCCUGGUAGUCCACGCCGUAAACGGUGGGCACUAGGUGUGGGCAACAUUCCACGUUGUCCGUGCCGCAGCUAACGCAUUAAGUGCCCCGCCUGGGGAGUACGGCCGCAAGGCUAAAACUCAAAGGAAUUGACGGGGGCCCGCACAAGCGGCGGAGCAUGUGGCUUAAUUCGACGCAACGCGAAGAACCUUACCAAGGCUUGACAUACACCGGAAACGUCUAGAGAUGGGGCCCCCUUGUGGUCGGUGUACAGGUGGUGCAUGGCUGUCGUCAGCUCGUGUCGUGAAAAGUUUGGGGUUAAGUCCCGCAACGAGCGCAACCCUUGUCCCGUGUUGCAGCAGGCCCUUGUGGGUGCUGGGGAAUCACGGGAGACCCCCGGGCACUCCCAAGGAGAGAGGGGGGGAGGAACCUCAAUUCUUCUUGCCCCCUUAUGUUUUGGGGGUGCCACACGGCUACAAUGGGCGGGUACAUUGAGUGCGAUACCCCCCCAGGGGGGAAGCGAAUCUCAAAAACGGGCCGGCCCUCCCCCAAAUGAGGGUGGUGCGCCCUCCACCCCACCCAAAAGAGGAGGCCCCUUUAUAUCCAAAUAACAAUAAUUUUUCGGGGGAGAGAAAUUACCGGGCUGUGUUUACCCCCCUCCCCCCUCCC